rnacentral:rRNA from 1 species
GAUGAACGCUGACAGAAUGCUUAACACAUGCAAGUCCUUGGCGAAGCUGCGCUUGCGCAGUCUAGCCAAGGCGGACGGGUGAGUAACGCGUAAGGAACUUGCCCUGCAGACAGGGAUAACAGACGGAAACGACUGAUAACACCACGUAUUGUCAGGCUGUCGCAUGCCGGCCUGAUGAAAGGAUACGCUGCCGGAGAGCCUUGCGUCCUAUUAGCUAGUUGGUGGGGUAACUGCCCACCAAGGCGAUGAUAGGUAGCCGGCCUGAGAGGGGGAACGGCCACAGGGGGACUGAUAUACGGCCGACACCUCUGCGGGAGGCAGGUGUGGGGUAUAGUGGACAAUGCGGGCGACUCAGGUACAGCCAUCCUGUGUGCAAGAAGAAGGUUUUCGGAGUGUAAAGCGCUUUCAGGAGAGAAAGAGAAAGUGACGGUACCUGCAGAAGAAGCGACGGCUAAAUACGUG